UAACACAUGCAAGUCGAGCGGUAACAUUUCUAGCUUGCUAGAAGAUGACGAGCGGCGGACGGGUGAGUAAUACUUAGGAAUCUACCUAGUAGUGGGGGAUAGCAUGGGGAAACUCAUAUUAAUACCGCAUACGACCUACGGGAGAAAGGGGGCAAUUUAUUGCUCUCGCUAUUAGAUGAGCCUAAGUCGGAUUAGCUAGAUGGUGGGGUAAAGGCCUACCAUGGCGACGAUCUGUAGCUGGUCUGAGAGGAUGAUCAGCCACACCGGGACUGAGACACGGCCCGGACUCCUACGGGAGGCAGCAGUGGGGAAUAUUGGACAAUGGGGGAAACCCUGAUCCAGCCAUGCCGCGUGUGUGAAGAAGGCCUUUUGGUUGUAAAGCACUUUAAGCAGUGAAGAAGACUCCAUGGUUAAUACCCAUGGACGAUGACAUUAGCUGCAGAAUAAGCACCGGCUAACUCUGUGCCAGCAGCCGCGGUAAUACAGAGGGUGCAAGCGUUAAUCGGAAUUACUGGGCGUAAAGGGAGCGUAGGUGGCUCUAUAAGUCAGAUGUGAAAUCCCCGGGCUCAACCUGGGAACUGCAUCUGAAACUGUAGAGCUAGAGUAUGUGAGAGGAAGGUAGAAUUCCAGGUGUAGCGGUGAAAUGCGUAGAGAUCUGGAGGAAUACCGAUGGCGAAGGCAGCCUUCUGGCAUAAUACUGACACUGAGGCUCGAAAGCGUGGGUAGCAAACAGGAUUAGAUACCCUGGUAGUCCACGCCGUAAA
rnacentral:rRNA from 1 species